CUAUAGUCAACUCCCCAACAAUGGUCCACUGUGAAUGGGAAAUCCAAGAAUCCAGUAGUUGCUCAGUUCCACGAGGCUGGUUGUCUUCAGUUGGUCUCUGUAGAAGUGGAUUCCAACAGAUAUUUGCUGGCAAGUAAAUGUGAGCAGAUGAUGACCGCCAUCCUGUUACUCUCAAAUACUUUGCAAUGAAUGAUCACACCUACAUCAGAUCCAAAGGAAAAAAUGUCCCUCUUCCUUCAAGAAGACCUAAGGAAGACUAGAGAGAACUGGUGGAUCAAAAAGGGUCAGAGGAGCACCAACAAGAAGGCAGCAGAUGUCCUGGCGGGAGAGGGCAGGAAAGAGAAGUAGAGUGUAUGAGGGGGAGUGUGAAUGUGUGUGCCUAAAACAGCAUACAGAAGGAGGGGAGGAGGAAAUGCACACAGGUAAAACAGCAAACAGAAGGAGGAGAAGUGAAAGUGGGAUCACCACAGCAGCACUGUCUGGAGAGGAAAAGGAUGCGAAGAAGACAUCAUCAAUAGAUAGCUGUCACAGACCCUGUCCCUCAAGCACCCCUACAUGCUCACACAUGUACCCCAUCUUUUAAACCGCAACUAUAGGAAUGAGUCUCUGACCUGGUUAAUAGGGAGGAAACAAGGCCCCAAUGCUAAGCACUGUGGUACAUUUGGCUAGGUGCCUAUCUUUUAGAAGUACAUACAGAAAGACUUAAAAACAGCAGAAUUUCUCUCAUUGCUUUCAAAUAGUGCCGAGAGGGGAGACAUUGUUAACCACAUUGUAACUGCCAGCGUUGGUAGAAGACAAAGCUAUUUGUUACACCAUCCUUUCUACUUUUAAGUGGAAUUUUUUCCCACUUAAUUUUAAUUAAAUGAUUAAUUUUCUUUUUUUUUAUUCAUUUAUUAUAUAUGAGUACACUGUAGCUGUCUUCAGAUACACCGGAAGAGGACAUCAGAUCUCUUUACAGAUGGUUGUGAGCCACCAUGUGGUUGCUGGGAAUUGAACUCAGGACCUCUGGAAGAGUAGUCGCGUGCUCUUAAUCGCUGAGCCAUCUCUCCAGCCCGAUUUAAUUUUCUUAUAAGUAAACAUUUUUAGCAAGACUCUCAACAUCUACACAUAUUACCUAUGACCUCUCUGACCUCCCUAUGCUACCUGGAACACACUUGUCCUCCAUCGCUUCAGCAUCUGGGUCUUUAAGCAAGUGGACCUAUCACCUUUCAGUCACCCAGGGCUGUCCCAUUUCCCACUCACUUUUUCUAUAUAGCAGUUUUCUUCUGAAGUCAUCCUUAGACACUUAGACAGUAUUUAGACACACGCCUUGGAGGUUACUGUGCACUUUUCUCUUAAUAAAUAUAAAGCCAAAAGAUCCAAUCGAGAGAGAGAGAGAGAGAGGGAGAGAGAGAGAUUGUUUCCAGUCUAAGUGCUGGGCCAGUCAGGUUCUUUUAAAUGGUUUCAUGUUCUGCUGGGUUAUGGUGUUACCCAGAUGCCACAUGACAAAACCAUCAAAUCUGAAACCUCCUUCCCCCCCUAAGAAGUGGUUUUUCUUUUCAGUUCAUACUUCAUGUUCUGGUAAACAGAGCAUCCACUCAAUAUAGGAAUAUCAUCAUUCUCAUCAUUCACGGAUGAGAAAACUGAGGGGGGAGGAGCCAAUGAGCGCACAGCCAUUCCAUGGCUCUUUGGAGAAUUAUAGCCUGAAAGCAUGUGCUUCAGAGCCUCCAUUCUCAACCCCUAGGCUACCUCAGUGUAUGGGGUAAAGCCUAGGGCAGAGGGCGCACACUUGCGACAGACAGACAGACAGACAGACAGACACACACACACACACACACACACACACACACACACACACACACACACACACACACACACAUCCCAGUCAGGCGAUUUUAUGACCAAGAUAAGACAUUUACAAGCUCUGUGACCUUGACCAAGGCACAGACUCUCUCUGUGCUUCAUUUUCACUUCCAGUCUGCUGUGAGAACUGACUGAAUUGUAGCGUGCGUGCUUCUGUCCGGCACACAGCGUUCUCUAAAAGUUAGCCUUGCUAUCAUCGCCGCCACUGUUGCCGAGCAGGUCCCUAUUCACCACAGGACAGAUGGUUAGGGAGCCCUUGAUCUAUCCCACAUCCUCUAAGUCUCCCUUCAGUUCCUCUUAACUAACGUGUACAAACCAGCCAGAAAUCUUUUUGGGGGCAUGAUGGGAAGAUGUAAUGGGAUGACAGGCACCUGUGUGGCUCAGGUUUAUUCCAGAAUAAACGGUUCUUUAAGAAGAACUGCUUAGCUGUUAACAGGCACACAACCAACCAUGCCGGUCUCUCUACAAUUAGACUUAGGAAUCUAUUUUUAGUGACAAGGGAAACUAUUCAAAUUUGUCUCUUAUGUUCUGUAUGUGCAUUCAGAUGAACCAAGGCAUGGGCCUGUAGGCCUCUGAGGCUCUUUAACACUUAGCUUCCUACCAUCAGAAAAUCUUCUUUCUACUUGAACAUUUGCCCAUGGCUCCCACAGACUCUUGCCUGUGUAAAAACAAGUAAACAAACAAAAACAAGGAGGCUGGAGAAAUGGUUCAGUAGUUAAGAGCCUGUGUUGUUCUGGCAGAGGACGUGAGUUCAAGUCCCAGCACCCACCUGGUGACUCACUACCAUCUGUAGUUGGAGGAGUUGAGGCCUCCUUGGGCACCAGACACACACAUGGUAUACAGACAUACACGCAGACAAAACACAAAUACAUAAAAUAAAAUAAAAUAAAAUAAAUCUAAUUUUAAAAUCAAGCAAGAAUACAGAAUGAAACUACUAGUGUCUAGGCCUCAGGUUCCAUGACCAUCAGCGUUCCUUUUACCCCUUCCCAGACUCUAUACAGACCCUGAAGAAGUGAAUGAGAAGACACGGUUCCUAUUAUCUAAUAAUAAAGGGCUGUCAGGAGCAGGGUCAGGUGGCAAGGCAGCAAAGAGGAACUGAGAGCUGUGGGGAUGGAGAAACAGACGUGCUUUGACCCUUGCCACACGGAGUUUCGAAAACACCAACUUGCACGGAGCUUCUGCUGGCUACUGAAGACAGGAGCUGCGGCCACAGCACCAGUCACUUUCUUGUAAAGGCCACACAGAAGGCUUUUCCAGGAUACCUCCCUCCCUUCCGUUCAUUAUUCUUUCUAACUCCCCAGGGAAUGGAACCCGUGUUCUCUCCUCUCACCAGGAGGACUGAGGAUCAAGGAGGUGCCAUGACGAUUAUUUGGACUUGAGGCUUGUCUAAGAAACCCCAAGUUUGCUAACUGGGUCCCAGUCCUUUGCUCUCUCGAACCACAACUUCAACGGAAGGAUCUGCCAUUUGGCACUGUAGCUCAUGAUAGGGGCGUCUCCCGAGUACACGUUCUUUGGUUUGGGUGUUGUUUGUUUGUUUGUUUGUUUGUUUUGUGUUCUUUUGAACCUAAGUUCUCAUUUAGAGUAAUAUCCCUUCUCAAGCAUUCUCAGUUCCCUGGGGAAUUCACUGUAAUCCCUCACCGGCUCAGGGAUUUGCUUCAAUUUAAGGUCAGCAAGUAGCUGGACUUCACGUGGAGAGUGCUUACUUACAUUGGCAAAAUGUUUUCUGCCACCUUGACAAGUCCAGAGCAGUUGAAUGUGAGGAUGGGGUUCUCACGGUUCAUGUAAGAGUCUUUGGGGAAUUGAGAAGAGCCCGGGGACCACCUUGGUUCAGGCUUUUUAAUGCCCCAUUGACGCCUGGCUAACAGUGUCCCUCCCCUGGCCCCUUUCCUCCCUCAGAUAGCACUCCUUUCGUAAUGUCACCCCGCAAAAAGCCCUCUUCUCUCCCGAGAAACAAUUUUUUACGCUCCCAAGUGGCCACUGUCCUGACCACCUCCAGAAACACUGGUCACCCUGUCACCUCUCUUUAGCCCAAGGUUCCUCAUUUGCACUGUGCUUUGCUUCUUGCCCUCAGGCUAAUAAAGCUCACCAGCACAAGCGCUGCUCCAGGACGCCUUCAGGGGUCACUGCGUCGCGGAACCUUGAGGACAUGCAGCUAGGACCGGGAUGCAGCCAGGACGCUGCCGGGACGCCAGUUAUCUUUGCUUCCCUCCGCCCGCAACACUCGUGAUCUGAAAAGCUCCAGGAAAGCUGCCCGCGGAAACACGGAAACACGGAGACGCGCUACCGAGUGGGCGCCUUAGACCCACGCCUCACGGACACACUCUGCCCUUGGACGCACAGUCCCAACGCCCCUAGGUGUAAUAAACACAAAAAACAAACUUGGCACAAAUGAGCUCCCCGCCCCCAACUCCCAAGCUGCGGCUUCCCCACUAUUCGGAUGGGUCAGAGCUGAAGUCAGAGAAUCUCGCGUGGACCGCGGCUUACCUACGUCUCCUGGCCGUUUUAUCCACCUAAUAGCCACCUUGCCUCGUGGUAGUGACAGGUCCGGAUCACUUCUUCGGUGUGCCAACUCUGAACUUCUGAUGGUGCCGAGAGGAGCUGCCAACGAAUACAGAAAGUUUUCACCAAUAGAAACCGAACUCCUCUUGGCUCAGCUAAACCUGCAACCGCCCUCAGACCCUCUAGGUGGCGCAGGCUGCUCUUUGGGGAAGACUGGGACCCUUAAUCCUGCACACAGCUCCAGCAUCCUAAGCAUCUGGGCAGCAAUUGGGAAAUGGGUCCCUGCUUCGCCUACAAAGCUCCCUUCUCCUCAAAACCUACCUCAUCACUUUUGGCAGUCCCUUGGUUUUGUUCAUUGUCAUGUCCAGGUCACGGAGCAAAUGCAAUAUUUUGGAUUACUUGUCUAAAGUCUCUGAAACACUCUUCAGUCCCUGGCAACUUUGAUGCCAACCUGAGCUACAUGACAAGACUAUUUCAAGAAAUGUCAAUAAACAAACUGUGUGAGUUAAUGCUAA